UCCCUCAUAGUCUAGCUGGUUAGGAUACCAGGUUCUCACCCUGGAGACCCGGGUUCAAUCCCCGGUGGGGGAG
rfam:Ichthyophthirius multifiliis unplaced genomic scaffold scaff_1120509250952, whole genome shotgun sequence.